GAUGAAGAACGCAGCGAAAUGCGAUAAGUAAUGUGAAUUGCAGAAUUCCGUGAAUCAUCGAAUCUUUGAACGCAUAUUGCGCCCUCUGGUAUUCUGGCGGGCAUGCCUGUUCGAGCGUCAUUUCAACCCUCAAGCCCAGCUUGGUGUUGGGGAUCGGCACAGGCGCCCUCGGGCGCCCGCCGUCCCCUAAAUCUAGUGGCGGUCCCGCUGCAGCCUCCUCUGCGUAGUAGUUUUCUCCUCGCAAGGGCAGCUCGGUGGCGACCUCGCCGUAAAACCCCCAACUUCUGAAAGGUUGACCUCGAAUCAGGUAGGAAUACCCGCUGAACUUAAGCAUAUCAAUAAGCGGAGGA
rnacentral:misc_RNA from 1 species